GUGGAGGUUUAGCUCAGUGGUUACUUCUUAACUACCACAAGUUCUCUCCCCUCACCGGGUUCGCGUCCAGCGGUCCCCGAGGAUCUACCACGGGCGCUGUCCUCUGCUUUU
ensembl:vault_RNA Vault Vault RNA